rnacentral:rRNA from 1 species
AGAGUUUGAUCCUGGCUCAGAUUGAACGCUGGCGGUAUGCUUAACACAUGCAAGUCGAACGGUAACAGGCCUUCGGGCGCUGACGAGUGGCGGACGGGUGAGUAACGCGUAGGAAUCUGCCUCAUAGUGGGGGACAACGUGGGGAAACUCACGCUAAUACCGCAUACGCCCUACGGGGGAAAGGAGGGGACCUUCGGACCUUUCGCUAUGAGAUGAGCCUGCGUUAGAUCAGCUAGUUGGUAGGGUAAAGGCCUACCAAGGCGACGAUCUAUAGCUGGUCUGAGAGGACGAUCAGCCACACUGGGACUGAGACACGGCCCAGACUCCUACGGGAGGCAGCAGUGGGGAAUUUUGGACAAUGGGCGAAAGCCUGAUCCAGCAAUGCCGCGUGCAGGAUGAAGGCCUUCGGGUUGUAAACUGCUUUUGUACGGAGCGAAACGGUUCUUUCUAAUAAAGAGGGCUAAUGACGGUACCGUAAGAAUAAGCACCGGCUAACUACGUGCCAGCAGCCGCGGUAAUACGUAGGGUGCGAGCGUUAAUCGGAAUUACUGGGCGUAAAGCGUGCGCAGGCGGUGAUGUAAGACAGAUGUGAAAUCCCCGGGCUCAACCUGGACCUGCAUUUGUGACUGCAUCGCUAGAGUACGGUAGAGGGGGAUGGAAUUCCGCGUGUAGCAGUGAAAUGCGUAGAUAUGCGGAGGAACACCGAUGGCGAAGGCAAUCCCCUGGACCUGUACUGACGCUCAUGCACGAAAGCGUGGGAGCAAACAGGAUUAGAUACCCUGGUAGUCCACGCCCUAAACGAUGUCAACUGGUUGUUGGGUCUUUACUGACUCAGUAACGAAGCUAACGCGUGAAGUUGACCGCCUGGGGAGUACGGCCGCAAAGUUGAAACUCAAAGGAAUUGACGGGGACCCGCACAAGC